rnacentral:rRNA from 1 species
GUUAGGAAUAUUGGACAAUGGGCGAAAGCCUGAUCCAGCCAUGCCGCGUGAACGAUGAAGGCCUUCGGGUUGUAAAGUUCUUUAGCCGAUGAUUAUAAUGACUGUAGUCGGAAAAUAAGCCCCGGCUAACUUCGUGCCAGCAGCCGCGGUAAUACGAAGGGGGCGAGCGUUAUUCGGAAUCACUGGGCGUAAAGCGUGCGUAGGCGGUUUUGUAAGUUAGGAGUGAAAUCCCAGGGCUCAACCUUGGAAUUGCUCUUAAAACUGCAAGGCUCGAAUCUCGGAGAGGAUAGCGGAAUUUCCAGUGUAGCAGUGAAAUGCGUAGAUAUUGGCAGGAACACCAGUGGCGCAAGCGGCUAUCUGGACCGAUAUUGACGCUGAGGCACGAAAGCGUGGGGAGCAAACAGGAUUAGAAACCCUGGUAGUCC